rnacentral:tRNA from 1 species
UCUAUAAUAGUUUAUACAAAACGUUAGUUUGUGGUACUAAAGAAAAGUUUUAUAGAA